CAGCUUUCCUGUGGUUACCAGGGAGUGGGAGGCUCAAAGGGGGUGCAUUCUGGAAGCUCAUCUGCUCCCUCAUUCUCACUCAGCACCCUGCUUGGCAUAAGCUAUUCAGGGUGAUGAUUAGCGGAGCUGCAGAAAGCCACUGGGGCGGGCUGAGGAGAGGAAACAGGUAGACAAUGUUUUCCUGAAUAUGUGCAUAUCCAACCAGGAACAACCCGUCUAAUGGUUUCCAAGUUUGGCUGGAGAUUUGGAGGCUUCUGGGUUUGGAACCCGUGUGAUCACCAGCACACCAGUCUCAUGUACCAGAAGACCAGAGAAGGUGUGUCAUCCAUGGAAUCCAACAUCCCAAUCGCAGUGACCCAGACACACAGCACUUCACUGGCAAAUGGAGUUUACUUCCAUUUUCCCGGGCUCUUGGCUGGUCAAGAACUUUCUCAACCAUCUACUCAAGGGGCCAGAAGGGGUAGUGAGGAAUGAUGGUGGGAAAAGGUGUGUGUGGGUCGGGUAGCUAACAUCCUCAUACUGGCUGCCAGCAUACGGAAGGCAAGAGUAUCUGUAUCAGUGGGUGAUGCCACUCCGGGCUGGGUUUCACAAGGGAUUUAUACAGUGCAGAAUUCAAACUAAUACAUACGAGGCAAAUUCUAGAAGAACUUUCUUUCAUCCGUUUGCUGUUGUAUUUAUUUAUUUAUUGAGACAAGGUUUCUCUGUUUAACAGCCCUGGAUGUUUUGGAACUCACCAUAUACACCAGGUUGGCCCCAAACUCACAGAGAUCCACCUGCUUCUGCCUCCCCAGUGCUGGGACUAAAGGCAUGUAACUUUCUAACAAUGGUCGGUGGCCCAGAAGACAGUUAAUCUUAGGACAAUUGUCCAGCUCCCUGCUUCACCUUAAAUUAUGAGGUAUUUGAUGUUUUGAGCAAAACAAGAAUAACAGGCAGGUAGCUGCCAAAUUCCCAUGGUUCAUGAAGAAAUGAUAUUAGUAGUAUCCAGGACCUUCUAGCUCACUCCCUUCUCUCCUGCCCAGACAGGGUUGCCGACUCUGUCCUCUGAGGGUGAGGGAGUCAUUUCUGUACGUAGAUUCAUGCUUAUGCUGCUUGUGGGGGUGUGUGUUCAUGAAACAGAGGCAGUAUUGCUUUCAGAAUCUUUUCCGCUUUUUGUAAAUGAUAGAAUACAUACAGCCUUAUGAAAUGAAUUCAUGUUCACCCCACAUCAUGUUUGAAA
rnacentral:lncRNA from 1 species